UCUACCCACAAGGAACUUAGGGUCUCUCCCAUGUUAUCUUAAGUUCUUUGAGGACAGGGA
rnacentral:pre_miRNA from 1 species